GGUGCCGUAGCUCAGAUGGUUGAGCGUUCGACUGGAAAUCGAAAGGUUACGAAUUCGCCCACGCCG
rnacentral:tRNA from 1 species